UAUGUAAUACGAAUUGUCCGGGACCAGG
rnacentral:sRNA from 1 species